rnacentral:rRNA from 1 species
UACGGGGGGUGCAAGCGUUGUUCGGAAUUAUUGGGCGUAAAGAGCGUGUAGGCGGCCGGAUAUGUCAGAUGUGAAAGCCCCGGGCUUAACCCGGGAAGUGCAUUUGAAACUGUCCGGCUCGAGUAGGGGAGAGGGAAGUGGAAUUCCUGGUGUAGAGGUGAAAUUCGUAGAUAUCAGGAGGAACACCGGUGGCGAAGGCGACUUCCUGGCCCUAUACUGACGCUGAGACGCGAGAGCGUGGGUAGCAAACAGGAUUAGAUACCCUGGUAGUCCACGCCGUAAACGAUGUUCACUAGGUGUUGGGGGUAUUGACCCCCUCAGUGCCGGAGCUAACGCAUUAAGUGAACCGCCUGGGGAGUACGGUCGCAAGACUAAA